rnacentral:rRNA from 1 species
GUACUCGAGCGGCGAACGGGUGAGUAACACGUGAGUAACCUGCCCCCGACUCUGGGAUAAGCCCGGGAAACUGGGUCUAAUACCGGAUAUGACACCUCCUCGCAUGGGGUGGGUGUGGAAAGUUUUUCGGUUGGGGAUGGACUCGCGGCCUAUCAGCUUGUUGGUGGGGUAAUGGCCUACCAAGGCGACGACGGGUAGCCGGCCUGAGAGGGCGACCGGCCACACUGGGACUGAGACACGGCCCAGACUCCUACGGGAGGCAGCAGUGGGGAAUAUUGCGCAAUGGGCGAAAGCCUGACGCAGCGACGCCGCGUGGGGGAUGACGGCCUUCGGGUUGUAAACCUCUUUCAGCAGGGACGAAGUUGACGUGUACCUGCAGAAGAAGCGCCGGCUAACUACGUGCCAGCAGCCGCGGUAAUACGUAGGGCGCAAGCGUUGUCCGGAAUUAUUGGGCGUAAAGAGCUCGUAGGUGGCUUGUCACGUCGGGUGUGAAAGCUUGGGGCUUAACUCCAGGUCUGCAUUCGAUACGGGCUGGCUAGAGGUAGGUAGGGGAGAACGGAAUUCCUGGUGUAGCGGUG